AAACUCAUAAAAUGUUCUCUAGUAAUGGUAAUGGGAUAUUAUUAAAUUUGUGUGAUGACGAUGUUUGGGACAAAACUAAUAUUAUAUGCUGUGGUUUCAGGUAUGGAGAGAUUACGGACUUCGCCUUAGAACUUUAUGGAUUUUAAAAAA
rnacentral:sRNA from 1 species